rnacentral:rRNA from 1 species
UGGGGAAUAUUGGACAAUGGGCGAAAGCCUGAUCCAGCCAUGCCGCGUGUGUGAAGAAGGUCUUCGGAUUGUAAAGCACUUUAAGUUGGGAGGAAGGGCAGUAAGCGAAUACCUUGCUGUUUUGACGUUACCGACAGAAUAAGCACCGGCUAACUCUGUGCCAGCAGCCGCGGUAAUACAGAGGGUGCAAGCGUUAAUCGGAAUUACUGGGCGUAAAGCGCGCGUAGGUGGUUCGUUAAGUUGAAUGUGAAAGCCCCGGGCUCAACCUGGGAACUGCAUCCAAAACUGGCGAGCUAGAGUAGGGCAGAGGGUUGUGGAAUUUCCUGUGUAGCGGUGAAAUGCGUAGAUAUAGGAAGGAACACCAGUGGCGAAGGCGACCACCUGGGCUCAUACUGACACUGAGGUGCGAAAGCGUGGGAGCAAACAGG